UUCAAGGAAAAGCAGAAUGCUGACACAGAAGAAUACUAAAAUUAUUAAAUUUGCCAUGCUGUGGAAUCUCACAGGAGUAUCGGUGAGUGGUAUGGAAAAAAUGCUGUCCCCCACUGAUUGCCUGGAACAUGGUUAUCAUGAUAAUUUGCAAGGCCUUCAAAAAACAUCAUAUAAUGAAGUUUUGAGUCCAUCUACCAAAAUUCCAUAAAAAGAAGAGGAAGGAAAGAAAGAGCUGACUCCCCUGGCCCUAUUCUUGAACAUUCCUGUUCCAGGACUGGUAUCUAGGAGGUUUUCCUUGCCAUUGGUGGAAGCAUGUGUGAGCUCAAUCUCAGGAGUGGAUCAGGCUGAUGCAGACUGCCAGCGAGUGUAGCGAACUGAAUUCCCUUAGGCUUAUAAAAAAGUAGGUCAACAGUGUCCAGGCUUUCUGAACAUAUUCUUCCCUAAAAUGCAUCUCCUAGGAAAGAAUCACUCAAGUGUACCAGCUUGAUCAAUACACGCAUAGAUGAAGAUCCCUUAAAACCUGCAUUAAAACCUGCAGAAAACUAGCUGUCUUCCUUCCAUGCCUUCCUACUACCCCUUGCAGUCACUUUGCAUGGGCUGGAACAGGCAGAAACACUUUGUGCAGGCUCUCUGGAGUAAGAGGCAAAGGACCAUUUGUGAACCAAAUACUGGGAAAUAAAUGGAUCUUACUUUCAAUUCCGUGGGGAGCAGAAUCUGGCCUCAAAUAGAUCUUUUAAAACUCUUUCUCAUAGGAAACUCAUCUUGAACUGAAAAAAACCCAAAACAACAGUAAACUCGAUUUAGGCUGAAUUACUAAAUGUUUAGUUCUUGCUUUAAAUUAUGAGCAUAUUUUGAAAUAAAGCAGAUUACAAGCAUGUUUAUGUAUAUUUUAAAGGCUAGAUAUGAUACACAACUACUGAACAAUUACAACAUAAACUAUACCAGUUGGAUUGAGCAAAAAUGGCUGUGUAUCAUUAAUGAUGUUACUGUAAUGAUGUUACAUCAGACCAGCUUCAGGGGCGGCAUAAUUGUUUUUCUGUCAACCUAUAAAUUCUUGAGUAACAACAAAAUUAUUGUGAUUUUUCUUACUAAAUAAUUCAUAUAUCACAAAGCAUGUAUAUAACCAGGCCCAUGAAUCACUAAGCAUGUAACAAUCAU